rnacentral:lncRNA from 10 species
GCUUUGUCUUCAACAUAAUAUAUUUAUUAAAUAAAUGUAACUGUGUAAUCAUGGAAUCUAAGCACAGGAGGAUUUCCAAGCUUCACCUCACAUCAAAUGCAGGCAUCAUAUAGCCUCUAGGCCUUGGGUUAUGUCAGGGAUUUUUGCUUUUCACUUAGACUUGCAGUUGUCUUUCUUAGAAGAUAUGAAACAUGUUGGUCCCACCUCUAGCCAAGUAAAAACAGGUAUGUGAAUAAAAUGACUAUCAAAACAGGUUCUUUUCAAAGCGUUGGAAAUAUUGGAUUUCUCUUGGCUGUGAAUGUAGUGGGAGUCUUGAUGUCUUCGUCAUAUUGGGGAGCUUUUUAUUCAGCAUACUAAAAACAUGUAUCUAGCAAUUUCUAGAGGGUGCCAGGACUUUUCUUGGGGUUAGAGUAAUGAAGAUGAUUAUACAAUGGCCUCUAUCCAGUUGACGCAACUGAUUAGAUUAGCUAAAUGUUACAGGGCACGGUGGUAUAAAAAAAUUCCUGGAAGACGGAAGAUUUUAUUCACCACAUAAGCAGUCAUGGGGUAGGUGUUCCACAACUAGUUGGAUGUGUCAAGGCACAGCAUCCUACAAAAACAUAGUCUGUUUUGAAAAAUUCAGUCUGCCUGAAGGUGGGUGGCUGGAGAAAAACUUGAGAAGUUAGGAGGGACCACAUCACCCAAUACCUGGUUAACCAACUAGGAGAGAUUUAAUGACUACCUGUAUAGCCAGCAGGAACAUUUAAUGUGGGGUACAAGAUCACCUUUGUUCUUUAGGAAGUUUGUAGUCAUUCAUAAAUCCAAAGGAAAAAGCAAAAAUUCAGGCCAUGUUAUGCCUCACAUGUAAAAUAGCCUGCUAUCCAGCCCUGGGCAUUGCAUUAUUCCAGUAAGGGCUAAUGUUGUAUAUUCUUCUCAACUAUUUCAAUAAAAAAUGUGGAGGAUACAUUCCAGUUGAAAGAUCACUUAUUUGAAUUUUACCUUUUAGUGCCAAGAUUGCAGGGAAAAAUAUCAUUUGUGAGCCUCUCGGAAGGUUGGCUGAUCUGCAGAUAGGAUAAAAUAUCCUGCAUGUACUCUCCAUUUGAUUUGUAAUUUACAUAGCAUCUCUUUGUUCAUCAAGGAACACCCUGCAUGACUUCCUGACACUGACCUGGAUUUUACUUAUGGCUGCCCUAAAUUGUGUUAUCAUGGUGUACCGGUUGUUCAGUAUUCAGCCUUGCUCCUCUGUAACUUAAUAUUAUGAUUUAUUUCUGACUUGGCUUUUCUUUAUCGAAUGCUGACUUUUUCUAAGAGGUUCAUGUGGAAAUGUGCUACAUGAAAAAAAAAAAAGGAGCACAGUUUGGCCUCAGGGCAAAAACAUGAAUACUGACCCAGGGACAUGAAUACAGGGCAGAAGAGAGAGUGGCACAGGCAACAAAAUUAACUCAUUUCUUUGCCUUUUGUGUGUUCCUAAGUGUGUGGAGUGACUCAAAUUUUAGCACAGAAAGUAAAGUUAGAAAGCAACUGCUAUUUGCCAACAACCCAUUCUUUAAUUCUCAAAGAUCAAAAAUUUGCUUGAAAACUGACAUUUUCAUUUUCUCCUGGCCCAGUGAACAAAGUUUUAAGGUUAUGUGGUCGCUCUGAUACCACCUAAGAAGCAAAUAUUUCUUGCAGUCUACUUCUAGAUGUGAAUGAACUGAAAGUAAAUGACUCAGAGAUGGAGUAAAUGUCCCUUGAAAUACACCCAAACUUAAUAAUUAGGAGAAGAGUGCUUGAAUAAACACAUUUAGAGUGUUAUUGAGCAUAUACAAGCUUAGAUGGUCCAUAUUUCUAAAAGACAGUGAGUCUAUAGCACAUUCUUCGGAGAUGAGAAAAUUAUGCCAUAAAUAAAAUUUGUAGUGGAGGCAUUUGUUUUAUCAUUCAGUUAAGUAGCAGGAAUUCUUUCAUACCUAGAGGGACUUAGGUAAAACUAAUAAACAGACAUACUUAACAACAAGAACAACAACAACAAAAAUAAAGCAUUACCAUUCAAGAGUGUGAAAUCACUUCUCUGAGAGCCUUUUUGGAUUGAAUAUUCUUUUUGGGCUGGUAAUGUCAAACUAAAACUUUACCUAAACACAGAUAACUAGGUGGCUCUUAGCAUACCUUUCAGGGCUUAUGGUCUCCAAUUAUUCCACUCACAUCCCCCUAUACAUUUCCAAAUCACCUCUUUCAGUGUCUCCAGUGUUUAAACAUGAACUGGAUAGAGUGUUGCAUGGUAGUAUUAAAUAAAAUUUAGCUUAAAGCUGUUUCCUUACAUAUUAUAAGUUCUGUCUAAAGGUUUCUACGUGCAUAGUAUACAUGUCAUUGAAAGUGUAAAUGGACUAUAACCUACUCUGAUACCAAUCACUGAGUUGUGGCCAAUCAAAGGUGGCCAACUGCUCAAACCACAUUCAAAUAUGGCAAAUGCUGAGCUGUAACCAAUCCCGUUGUUUCUGUACCUCAUUUCUGUUUUCUCUCUGUCACUUUUCUUUUUCUUUCCAUAAAUCUUCUUCAACCACCUGGCAGUGCCAGAGUUUCUCUGAACCCAUUCUGGCUUGGGGGAUGCCUGAUUCAUGAAUCAUUCUUUGCUCAAUUAAACUCUGUUUAAUUUAAUUUGUCUAAGGUUUUUCUUUUAACAGUAGAGAUAGGAGUACAACACACUUUGAGGUGUACAGGAGUGAGUUCAAAUCCUAGCUCUGUUAUUGGCUUGAUUUCUCAUCUUGAGCAAGGUACUUAGUUUCUCUGAGCCUUAGUUUCUGCACUUGUAAAUGUGGAGAAGUGAAACACCAGACUUGAGAGGAUGCUCUGCUAUCUGAACGAGGUAAUGGGAAAAUGCUCGGCCAGUGUUGUAACUCAAUCUUCUUAUCCAACAGUGAGCCCCUUGGGCACCCAGACCCAGACUCGCCCUUCUAGUCUCACGUCUUGCACUCUCUGGCACAUCUCAUGUAGGCUCUGUUGCCUGUCAUGUUUUCCAGUCCACAAAUACCCUUGGCAUGCUCUCAUGUCUGUACUUGGUCCACAUUAUUCUAACGUGAAUACAUGAAACUUCUAAUGACAGUGCAAUCUUUCUAGACAAUCUCUGAAGGAGAAAUGUUACUAGUCUGUGGUGAAUAUAAAAAUAGGCUCAUAGGGAAAAAAAACUGUGAUUGAAGGUAUAAUUCUGCAUUUUCUUGGGAUAUACAUAAAUAGCAAGUAGUCAUUUUUUACUUAAAAAAAAAAAAAGAAAUCUACAGAAAGAAAAUUUAGCUGUCUUUCUGUUGCUAACCUUCCAGGAGGCCUUGGUUCUCCUUUAAGGUUGAAGUUCGUUUGUGACAGGUUAGUGCUGCUCAUUUUUGUGGCUUUCCAGAAGCCACCGUGGAAAAGGCAGAAGUCUUCCCCUCCCAUUAUGCUGAGUCAGACAUGGCAUCUACAUGACUCAUCACCAAGUGGUUCUCCAGAAUUCACUUUGCUUGCUUUUCCCCAAUCCAGAUAAUCCUCGGGACUGGUAGCCACCCAACUCACUCCUGCACACUGUUCUUCCUCUUUGGAGGCACCCACCAUGCCUGUCUGAUGCUGCCCCUCAAGGUCACAUCGGAGUCUCCUGUACCUACCUUGUCUGUGGCUACCCAACUCUAUACAAUUUCUGAAGCUUUCAUAACACCCAGAUGGUCUAUAAUGUAAUAUGUGUUUAGAUAAUCCUCAGGCCAAAACAUCUUUCCAAAAUUUAACUGUAAAUCUGUCACUUCCAUGGGUUAUGUUAGUCUUUUCCAUGUUCAAAUGGCUAUCUGAGCUCCUGGGGAGGGGAAGUCACUCCCGGAGUUCUCUUUCCAUCAUUCAUAGUGUGAAUCUCACCUUGGGCUGGGAGGAAUUUGUGAUGGGCAUACAAGUGAGAAAAAGGGUGCAAAGGGGUGAGAUGGUAUGUUAGUCAGGGUUCUCUAGAGGGACAGAAUUAAUAGGAUAGAUGUAUAUACAAAGGGGAAUGUAUUAAGGAGUAUUAACUCACGAGAUCACAAGGUAAGGUUGCAUAAUAGGCCAUCUGCAACCUGAGGAGCAAGGAAGCCAGUCCAAGUCCCAAAGCUGAAGGACCUUGAGUCCAAUGUUUGAGGGCAGGAAGCAUCCAGCAUAUGGGAGAAAGAUGUAGGCUUGGAGGCUAAGCCAGUCUAAUCUUUUUUUUUUUUUUUGAGAUGGAGUUGCCCUCUGUCACCCAGGCUGGAGUGCAGUGGCGUGAUCUCAGCUCACUGCAACCUCCGCCUCCGCCUCGCAGUACCUGAGAUUACAGGUGCAUGCCAACACGGCUAAUUCUUGUAUUUUUAGUAGAUACAGGGUUUCACCAUGUUGGCCAGUUGGUCUGGAACGAACUCCUGACCUCAAGUGAUCCGCCCACCUCAGCCUCCGAAAGUUCUGCGAUUACAGGUGUGAGCCACUGUGCCUGGCCAAGCCUAAUCUUUCCACGUUCUUCUGCUUGCUUUUAUUCUAGUUACACUGUCAGCUGGUUAGAUGGUGCCCUCCCAGAUUGAAGGUAGAUCUGCGUUUCCCAGUCCACUGACUCAAAUGUUAAUCUCCUUUGGCAACGCCUUCACAGACACACCCAGAAUCAAUACAUUGCACCCUUCAAUCCAAUCAAGUUGACAUCCAGUAGUAACCAUCACAGAUGGCUAAUACGGGAGAUAUUCAUGAAGGGUCUGGGAAGGGGAUUUGGAAGAGAUAUGGACACAAAGGAAGGAGGAAAGAAAAGGGGAAGUGAGACGGGAACCAAACCAAACACCCUGUAUUGCACAAUUGAGCCUGGAGUUGGCCUGCUCGCCACAGAGCAGUCACAGGUUUUCAGGAUGCUUUAGUGAUAGCAGCCAUCAGUACCUCUCAUUAGGAGCAAAAGCCCUGAUUGGUAAUAGUAUAUUCUACUUAUUUAGAGAAUAAAAGUUCCCUGUUAGAACCAGCCUUCUCAGAAUGGCAUUCAGCUUUUCAGAAAAGCACAGCACCAGCAUAUUUCUUAUCUGCCUUGAAGGUUAUAAUAAAUCCCUUCUUCUGUUAAUUCAUAAAUCCUUCAGCCACAUGCCAUUUUGGGGCCAUAUGCUUUCUUUCCUCCCUCUAACCCUUGGAAAGAUCUUUCAUAUCCAAUCUCUGUAGAUAAUCUGAAUGUGAAAUCAGGUAUGGUUAUCUAAUCCCUCUAAUCAGAAGGUCAGCAGUUACCUGCAGCUUUUCCAUCUGUCCUCCAGCUGAAUGCUGCCAUUUAGUAAAUCAAAAAUUGGUUACAAAUUAGCAAAGCUGACUGGCUCAAUGAAAUCUAGCCUGGAGUCUUUGCUGGAAGGGGGGAAGUUUAAAUAUGGUUUGAAGGGAGAUUUGAGGUGAACUCUAUUUAUCAAAGCCGUGGAGUAGCAGCAUAAAAGAUGAGAGAUGUUCUCCUGGGUAAAAAUGUCAAAUCACAUGGGAAAUGGGAAUAUUUCACAUGGUGAUUACUGAAUUUUACAAUUGUUCGCAAAUUGAUUCAGCCCAGAAAUCAACUGGGAAGUCUCCCACAGGUGUCUAGCACUCUGCAGGUAUUAGCGUGAUACAGGGUAAGUCUCAAAGUACAAAAAAAAACACACAUGUGAAACAAUUUGCAAACAAUGAAGUGCUAACCUGUGUGGUGUGAAUUACAGAUGCAUUAGGACACCAGAAAAGGAAGAAAAGACAGUGGCAGCUGAAGACAUUUCAGGAAUGCUUCACUGAGAACCUAAGUCUUGUUCUGGGCCAUAAAGAAAAGGGGAGGGUGUGGUUUCUAUACCAGAGAUAAGAAAGGAGAAAAUUGGACGUGGAGGAAAGAUAUGAGUACCAAUCCGAGCGAACAAGGAAGAGUGAGUAAAUCUGUCCAGCUGGAGUUGGAGGUACAUUCUGGAAAAUGGUGAGAGAGGCUGUGUAGGGUAGGGGGACACGGAAAGAUGGGCCAAGACAUUUGGAGCUGAUAUUUGAUAUGGUUUGGCUGUGCCCCCACCCAAAUCUCAUCUUAAAUUGUAAUCCCCAUAAUCCCCACGUGUCGAGGGAGGGACCCGGUGGGAAGUGAUUGGAUCAUGGGGGCAGUUUUCCCCAUGGAAUUCUCGUGAUAGUGAGUGAGUUCUCACGAGAUCUCAUGGUUUUACAAGCGUCUGGUAUUUCACCUGAUUGCACUUCUCUCUUCUGCCUCCUAGUGAAAAAGGUGCCUGCUUCUCCUUCUGCCAUGAUUAUAAGUUUCCUGAGGCUUCCCCAGCCAUGCGUAACUGAGUGAGGACCUAGAAUUUUAAUGUCUAAUAUGCGGUGUGAAUUAAAGAAGCGGCCUUGCUAUGCUGACCUUUUCAAUAUUCUAAUCUUUGCUUUGCUGACCUCUCAGGCCUCUUCCUGGCAACAGUUAGGCUUUUGAGAGGAGAGAGAGCUGAGACUGUUGGCUCCUUCCCAUUUAUGAGAGAGCCACAUGACAUCAGCCCAUAGACUGUGGAGAGUAUUCCAGAUCUAUCACAUUCUGCGAUUCUGCGAUUCCCAGAAGGCUGGUCAUGAAAAAAUUCCCUCUUCAGUUUACAUAUAUGGCAGUGAUGCACAUUGUUCUUUUGGUUGUGAAAAAUUCGAAGAAGUAGAUGUGGUCCUGGUUGAUGGAUGAACAUUGAGGCCCUCAAGUGCAUAAAGGCACUUCUAGAUAUCUGUUGAGGCCUGGAAGGGGCAAAACAAUUCAGGAAGCAGUUGAAGAUAAAGGGGUUUACCAUGGAAGAGAAGAUCCAGGUGCCUUCAUGGAAAUGCUUGUGGUUGAAAAGAGAUGAAGAUGAGGGUCCCUGGAAAGAGGAAGAACCAGCCAGGAAAAUUAUACCAUUAGCAAGACUGGCAUCAGCAAGUAGUUCGCAGUGUUGGUUGUUCUUGGUUUCGCAGGAUUUUAUAGGAGAUGGACCUUCUCCUAAAAGUCUUAUCUUCUAAGUCUCCUAAGUCUUGGACUUUUCAAGGCCAAAGAUUUAAAGGCCAAGUGGACCAUACGGGAGAUCUAGUUUCCCAUCCAGACAGCCAAGCUCAUGCAUCCCUGGAUUUGGAUGGAUGGUUUCCCAUGGGGCCUUGGACAGAUUGGACCCAGCACUGGCACAGGGUUGACUUGGAGGAAUAAGCUCCUGGAAACCUCAAUUAGCGUUUGGGGUAUGAACAUUAAACAAUACUGAAUCUGGAAACAAUACAUCACACAGCGGGUCCAAGGAAAUAAGCAGAAGGCUGGCAGCAGGCCAGGGCCAGGGGCCAAAUCGCUCCUCAAAGACAAUUCUUCAUGGAGAAAUGACAGCAGGUUUGAGGACAGCAGAAUUUCGCUCUUGUUGCCCAGGGCUGGAGUGCAAUGGUGCAAUCUCGGCUCACCACAACCACUGCCUCCUGGGUUCAAGCGAUUCUCCUGCCUCAGCCUCCUGAGUAGCUGGGAUUACAGGAAGUACAAAAACAUCCUUGCCGUUUGCUGGAAUGAUGUACUGCUGAAGGCAAUGGACACUGGGGUUGUUUGUCCCUAAUCACAAGUGAGCAAUACCAGAUCUAUUAUCUCAGGUUCAGAGAAGUGAGGUGUCUGACCUUCAGACAGGAUUGAAUGCAGAGUAAAAUAAUUCCAAAUAUGGUCUGGGCAUUGCAUGUAAUACAGAGUAAAAGUUAUUGUAAGACACUUUCGCCAGUUUCUGUCACUUGGUUCCUCAAAUGUUUAGUUCAUUCUAAUUACAUAAUCAGCCUUCUGAUUCAAUGAAGACUGAUGGGAUUGCUGACUUGCCACCCUGGAGUUCAGUUGGCAGCAAGUGAGGGAAAAGGUGAACUCUGUAAACAAGGUUUAGAAGCCCUUUUCUUAACUCUUUAUAAAACAGAGAAGAUGAGGAAGGAGAAAGGCACUGUCAUUAAGCUCUUAGCCAGGGAAUUACACAUACACACACGUGUGUGUGUGUGUAUUUCAACUCAAUGUACAAGGACUUCUCAGCCCAUAGCUACUUUGAACACAUUGUUUAUCCCCCAUAGCAUGAAGGACUAAAGGAACCAGAGAUUUCAUAAUCUCUGGCCUGUAACGUUUUUGCUGAAAUAUCUGCUGUUAUUCUAAUGGGGUUUCCUUUAAAGGUGACUAGUCACUCUUCUUUUGCUAAUUAAUUUUUUUUUUCACUUUGACUUUAGACAUUCUGAAUAUAAUAUGCUAUGAUGAAGCACUUUAUGCAAUGUAUAUUCCUGAGGAUUGCUGGGCCUCCUGUAACUAGAUGUCUGACUCUCUUGCUAGAUGUGGAAAGUUUUCAUCAAUUAUUUUCUUAAACAGGUUUUCUAAGCUUUUAAAUAAUCUUUCUUUCCCAUCAGGAAUACCAAUAAUUUCUAAUUUCAGUCACUUUAUGUAGUCCCAGACAUCUCAAAGGCUUUGUGCACUCCCUUUUAUACUUUUUUGUUGUCGUUAUCUUUGUCUUACUGGAUUAUUUCAAAAGACUUAUCUUCAAGUUCUGAGAUUCUUUCUUCUGCUUGAUCUAUUCUGUUAUUGAAGCUUUCAAAUACAUUUUGCAUUUCCUUCAAUAGUUUUUUUAGGUUUAGAUUUUCUGCUUUUGCUUUAUAAGAUACCCAUCUCCUUGAUACAUUUCUCAUUAAUAUCCUGAGUUAAUUUUCUAAUUUCUUGAAGUUGGCCCAAGGGUGGAAUGCAGCCCCGUGUUAAACUCUCAAAACUGUGCCUUGGGCCUGUGACCAGACAGAGCAGAUUUCUUCUCAAGUAAGUAGCAUAGAAAAGAGAGAUCCAAAUAAACACAAUCAUAAAUGAAAAAGGAGACAUUAUAGCUGAUAACACAGAGGCACAAAGAUCAUCAGAGACUAUUAUAAAUAACUAUAUGAUCACAAACC